CCGGAUAGCUCAGUCGGUAGAGCAUCAG
rnacentral:piRNA from 10 species